rnacentral:rRNA from 1 species
CAAUAGCGUAUAUUAAAGUUGUUGCAGUUAAAAAGCUCGUAGUUGGAUUUCUGACUUUCUCGGACUGGUCCGCAGUGUCCCUCUUGUAGGGCCUGUGUGCACCGUGUUGCGAGUAGUCAUCCUUUCAGUAAACCUUAAUGGCAUUAAUUUGUUGUUUUGGCUAGCUGGAAAUGUUACUUUGAAAAAAUUAGAGUGUUUCAAGCAGGCUUAUGGCUUUGAAUACAUUAGCAUGGAAUAACGGAAUAGGACUUUGGUCUUAUUUUGUUGGUUUGUAGGGCCGAAGUAAUGAUUAAUAGGGACAGUUGGGGGCAUUCAUAUUUAAUAGUCAGAGGUGAAAUUCUUGGAUUUAUGAAAGAGGAACUUAUGCGAAAGCAUCUGCCAAAGAUGUUUUCACUAA